UACGGAGGGAGCUAGCGUUGUUCGGAAUUACUGGGCGUAAAGCGCACGUAGGCGGCUUUGUAAGUUAGAGGUGAAAGCCUGGAGCUCAACUCCAGAACUGCCUUUAAGACUGCAUCGCUUGAAUCCAGGAGAGGUGAGUGGAAUUCCGAGUGUAGAGGUGAAAUUCGUAGAUAUUCGGAAGAACACCAGUGGCGAAGGCGGCUCACUGGACUGGUAUUGACGCUGAGGUGCGAAAGCGUGGGGAGCAAACA
rnacentral:rRNA from 1 species